UAGGGAAUCUUCGGCAAUGGACGAAAGUCUGACCGAGCAACGCCGCGUGAGUGAAGAAGGUUUUCGGAUCGUAAAACUCUGUUGUUAGAGAAGAACAAGGACGUUAGUAACUGAACGUCCCCUGACGGUAUCUAACCAGAAAGCCACGGCUAACUACGUGCCAGCAGCCGCGGUAAUACGUAGGUGGCAAGCGUUGUCCGGAUUUAUUGGGCGUAAAGCGAGCGCAGGCGGUUUCUUAAGUCUGAUGUGAAAGCCCCCGGCUAAACCGGGGAGGGUCAUUGGAAGCUGGGAGACUUGAGUGCAGAAGAGGAGAGUGGAAUUCCAUGUGUAGCGGUGAAAUGCGUAGAUAUAUGGCGGAACACCAGUGGCGAAGGCGGCUCUCUGGUCUGUAACUGACGCUGAGGCUCGAAAGCGUGGGGAGCAAACAGG
rnacentral:rRNA from 1 species